GUAGGGAAUCUUCCGCAAUGGACGAAAGUCUGACGGAGCAACGCCGCGUGAGUGAUGAAGGUUUUCGGAUCGUAAAGCUCUGUUGCCAGGGAAGAACGCUUGGGAGAGUAACUGCUCCCAAGGUGACGGUACCUGAGAAGAAAGCCCCGGCUAACUACGUGCCAGCAGCCGCGGUAAUACGUAGGGGGCAAGCGUUGUCCGGAAUUAUUGGGCGUAAAGCGCGCGCAGGCGGCCUUGUAAGUCUGUUGUUUAAACCCGGGGCUCAACCCCGGGUCGCAAUGGAAACUGCAAAGCUUGAGUACAGAAGAGGAAAGUGGAAUUCCACGUGUAGCGGUGAAAUGCGUAGAGAUGUGGAGGAACACCAGUGGCGAAGGCGACUUUCUGGGCUGUAACUGACGCUGAGGCGCGAAAGCGUGGGGAGCAAACAGG
rnacentral:rRNA from 1 species